GCGGGAGCAACUCAGUGGUAGAGUGCAACCUUGCCAAGGUUGAAGUCACGGGCUCAAAUCCCGUCUCCUACA
rnacentral:tRNA from 1 species